rnacentral:rRNA from 1 species
GACGAACCGUGCGAACGUUAUUCGGAAUCACUGGGCUUAAAGCGCGUGUAGGCGGGCCGGCGCGUCGGCCGCUGAAAUCCCCCGGCUCAACCGGGGAAGCGGAGCCGAUACGGCCGGCCUGGAGGGACGUAGGGGGGGCUGGAACUUCCGGUGGAGCGGUGAAAUGCGUUGAGAUCGGAAGGAACGCCCGUGGCGAAAGCGAGCCCCUGGACGUCUACUGACGCUGAGACGCGAAAGCCAGGGGAGCGAACGGG